CACUGAGAAGAGGGGUAUAAAAGGCUGCGAGCAUAAGAAAAGCCAAAGUUAAGAAUAAGACGUUACCGGUGAAACUUAGCUAGAGAGCAGUGAAGAAGUGGAAAAAUUUAAUUUGUGUGUUGCGAUUUUUUUUUAUUGUGAAUAUUCCGGUGGUGUAUCAAGCCUUUUUUGGAAGCACCGAAAAUUGUCCGGUUUUGGUCAGCACAACGGCGGGAAAUUGCCUUUUCUUUUUGGUAACGCAAGGUAGUGGCAAGUUGUCCACAGGAAAAAAAAGCCAAAAAAGUUACAUUGAGGGUGUGGAGAUUUGAAUUGUAAACUGGC